GUGAACAACGUGCCCUGAAGUCCGGGACAAACGCAGAAAUGCCAUAAAUACCGGAUGUGGCGAUCCUUCGGCAUCGAGGGAUCUUUAAAUGGUUUUUCGCUUCAGGAGCGGUUCACGGCCCAUCAGCUAGUUGGCGGGGUAAAAGCCCACCAAGGCGACGACGGGUAGGGGGUCUGAGAGGAUGAUCCCCCCGAGUGGGACUGAGACACGGCC
rnacentral:rRNA from 1 species